ACACGUGUUACAAUGGCAGGUACAGAGGGGUGCUACCGGGUGACCGGAUGCCGAUCUCGAAAACCUGCCCCAGUUCGGACUGGAGUCUGCAACCCGACUCCACGAAGCUGGAUUCGCUAGUAAUCGCGCAUCAGCCACGGCGCGGUGAAUACGUUCCCGGGCCUUGUACACACCGCCCGUCAAGCCAUGGGAGCCGGGGGUACCUGAAGUGCGUAACCGCGAGGAUCGCCCUAGGGUAAAACUGGUGACUGGGGCUAAGUCGUAACAAGGUACC
rnacentral:rRNA from 1 species